AUCUGUCACACAACAACACAUAACGGAAUAUUGGUGGAAGGUUCAACCUCUGCUGCCAUACCACCAGCAUUGGCCUGUGACAUCGUGGGCCAACGUAAUGACAUAGGAGGCAUUACUUGAGGAGCAGCCCUGUAAUAUUUACAGAAAAUUAAACUGAGACUUUUGUGGACUUUAAAUAUUACUGUUCUAAAAUUAGUAAGGGUUCUGAGCAUACCCUCCUGUGGUUCAAAAGUCUUCUUUUGUUAUUUGUUGUAAAAUAAACUUCAGGGAAAUAUCUGUAAAACACCACUUUUGGAUGGAUUUUUAUCUUGAGCAGGAUUUGUGCUUAUGACUUGUCUUAAAUAAGUUGUAUUGUAGACACUGCCCUGAGUGUUUUCAUCAUCCAUGUCCCCAGUCAGAAAGAGGCAUUUUCAUCAAGGCUGAUUGUUGACCCCUGAUGACAUUUGUGACUACCACGUGCAAUCUGUCAGAAACUGGAAGUUGUCUGUGGUAUUUCAGGCACUGCAAUGAUUGUCCCUUUUUAGAGUACAGUUCUUGUCUCCAAAGGAUGUGUUUCUUCUUCUUUGAAAUUGAACUCACUUUAUUAAUCUAACUCAUCUCCUCCUACCCCAUCUUUUCUCAGCUUCACUGUCUCCUAGAUUGCUAUUUACAGAGGGCUGAAUUCCACCUGUACUUUCUUGAAGCAGUGACACUGAUUUUGAUUGAAAGGCAUCUGAUCACACCAGCAGUUUUGGGUUCUUUGCUGCUGCUUUGCCACUCUUCAUUCUAUUGCUAUUCCUCUGUAUUUUGAAGUAUAAUUCGCUCAAUGAUAUUAUUUCUAUUAAUGCAAAUUCAUUUCAAGAAGAUAUAUGUUUAAUUGCAUGUUGCCUAGAAGCUGAAAAAAGGUGAAUCAGAAACUAUCAAGCAAAGCUGGUGAUUUCAUUAUUUGUCCAUCUUGCAAGUGUGUCCCAUCAGCCAGCAUGGAAAGGAUACUGCCAAUAUGAUGGUCCAGCCUAGCAAAAACAAACAAACAAACAACAACAACAACAACAACAAAAACUGUGUAAUCUAUCUAUGUGUUGGAGGUACAAUAGGCCAUAGUCUAGGCAACAUAGUUACAUGAUUUCUGCUUAUUAGAAGGCAACUUUUUAACAUUUUCUUGAGAAACAUCCACAACACUGAGAGGGCUAAAACCCUUCUGAAAAGAACCAUGGUGUAAUGCCACUAACAGCUUAUGUGGUUCAAUCAAAUAUGCUGCAGGAAGCUGGUUAGGUCAUCCUGCUUUAGCCAAGCACAACAGGUGCAGUCAGCAGCAGUGCUGCAGGUCAGGGGCAUUGCCUUUGCACGUUUGCAUUAUCUUUAUGUCCAAAUACAAUCCUAUUUCUCGGAGAGAGCUGAAUACAGUCUGUUCUGCUUGUGUGGGAGGGGAUAUGUUUCCUUAUUAUCCUUCACCGUUUGAAAAAUCCUAAGAACAGAGUUUUGAAUUUUGUUUACAAAAACAAUUGAAGUCAUGGAUUAUCGUAGAGUUAGUAGGUAUACCAUUCCUGGCCACUAGAUGGAGGUAGGUAACAAAAAUGAGGACGCGUCUUUUACCUUAAACCCUCUAGUCAUUUGGACUGCAAGGAAUGUAUUUUAUCCUUAGAAAUACAUCUCAUACCGCCUUGCUUGAGAACAGCAUGACAUCAGUAUUUGCCAAUCCAUAGGUCUGUGUCAAACAAAACUUUUUCACUGCAGGUCUGUAUCAAGCAAAACUGUUUCACUGCAGUCUGCUUUAAAAUAGAUAUUUAUAUACAUUAUACACAUACAUAUAUAUAGCAAUAGUUAGCAUAAUUUAAUCUGAAGUACCUUUGAUUACCUGUAAUUCACUUCUACAUUUAGACAAAGAAGAACGUCAUCUAGGUCAUGUAUAUAUACAUGUGUUUGCAGAAAAUUACUACGUGAUGUAAGGAGAAAAGAGCAAUUUAAGAAUAUUUGUUUAAUGCCUACUAGACCUGGAAUCAAGUACAUGAAGUGUUACCUACUCCUUUCUUUUCAGCAAGAUCCCCUUUCAUCUUUAUAGUUCAAGUUACAGCUUCUUGCUGCUUAGUUGUUAAAAGGAUUGAUUUCUAGGGAGAGUGCAAACAGUCAGAGAAGGAGCAACUCUACUCCUUCAAGCACUGAAGAUGGCUACAGGGAUAUCUUUUAGCCUUGCACUCCUCUGUGCAGACCUGUAUGGCUGUGAUAAUGAAGGAAGACUUGCUGCUAAAGCUGGUCUUUUGCUACCUAUCAGACAGAUGAGAGCUGCAGGGUUGCAUUCUGAGCUUCUUGGGAAACACAGAUUUUAAUUUUCUGAUAUGGUUGAUGAAACCUACAUAUGGGCCCCUUUUCUUUAGGUGAAAUGACUGGUUAGUAAACAUCCUGCCCUUUCAGAAGCAGUGAUGACUAUACCUUGAUAGACUAGAUGUAUGCAUAUUUUCACCAUGUACUUGCUAUAAACAGAGGUAAGCAGGACUGUGUACUGGCUGCAGGAGUAUUCAGAGUCAGGUUUGCUGCACUGAUCAGAUGGUCUUGUAAAUGCAGUACUGGCAUCACUGUAAUAGUCCUGUUGUAUAGUCCUUCAAGAAAAACUGCUUAUUUAUUUAUUAUUUUUAUAAUUUCCUUUGCUAUGUCUCAGCUCUGCCAUAUUUUUACAUGGUUUCUGGGUUUCAGUUCAAAGUCUUUGCAAGGUUACUCUCCUUUAACUCUAUUGUGAGAGCUGAAUUCUGAUUCGAGCUUCAGAAACCUCCACAUGAUCUGAAAAUCAUCUUUUGUUCUUUUCAUCCUUCUGAAGUGUUCCUUAAAAAGCUCAAAGUAUUAUUAUUACUUUUUUAGGUAGUUCCCCUCCAUUUAGUUUUACUGAGGUUGCCCUGAGUGUACUGGAGAAUAGUAACUUGGAUAAAAUGCUGUAGGUCUCAAACAGGACUAUUGAACGAUAGCAAGGUGAGAGAGAAUAGAAAGCAAUAUAUAGAAUAAGUACUGCAAAGAUAGCAUCAUGUGAAUAUGAAAUAUUUAAACUAUACUUGUUUGCAAACAUUUUUGUUUUUACUUUUGUCUUCCUUUCUCCCUUGGAAAUGCAAACAAUACAAAAACUUAGAGACUUCCUACUGCCAAAAUUUAUCUUUUUUACAAUAACUGUUCUUCUUUACUGCAGAAUUAGAGGGAACAAAAUUUUCUCUGGAAGAAGAGCAUGGUGUGUAUUCAAAUUUUUUACCUUUUCUCAUGUGAUUUGGAGAUACCAUUGCAACUUUACAUUGUUUACAAGGCCAUGAAGUAAAUGAGAUGGAAUGCGACUGUAAUUUCUAGUAGUGUUAGAAUAGUAUAAUCGCGGUAGGGAAAAAUUUAAAUUUGAAAGGUCUGUGUUACAAAAAUAAAUUUAAAAUACUUAACAUUCUAAAUUCUGUGAUCUACCUGUGGUGACACUGUCAAAAUUCAAGUAAUAUUAUGCAACACAUUAAUAUUGUUUUGGGAUGAUCUUUGCAGCAUUCAAGAUUUUGAAUAAUAGUAAGACUGCCUUUCUUCAAGGAAUAGUUUAAAAUAAAAUUUAUUUCAGGAGAUGGUAAUCUCAUUAAUUUAUAAAUAAUAAGGGUAUGGAAAGAAGAGAAAUAUACUUUGACAAGCCACUGUAACACAACUGCAAAAUCAAUAGUAAGAAUGAUGCAUGUGUUAUAUUAGACCAUGUUUAAUAUUAAUAAACAUUUCUGUGCUUC
ensembl:lncRNA